rnacentral:rRNA from 1 species
AGGGUUUGAUUAUGGCUCAGGAUGAACGCUGGCGGCGUGCUUAACACAUGCAAGUCGAACGGGAAACAUUUUAUUGAAGCUUCGGCAGAUUUAGCUUGUUUCUAGUGGCGGACGGGUGAGUAACGCGUGGGUAACCUGCCUUAUACUGGGGGAUAACAGCCAGAAAUGACUGCUAAUACCGCAUAAGCGCACAGAACCGCAUGGUUCGGUGUGAAAAACUCCGGUGGUAUAAGAUGGACCCGCGUUGGAUUAGCUAGUUGGCAGGGCAGCGGCCUACCAAGGCGACGAUCCAUAGCCGGCCUGAGAGGGUGAACGGCCACAUUGGGACUGAGACACGGCCCAG